UAAAUUGCAGGGGUUGCUAAAGAAAGGCAAAUAAUUAGAGCAUAAAUCUGUCUGUGACAGCCCAUGGUCCUGAGAGAUGGGCUCACCGGCUCGGGGCUGAACUCAGCAACUGGGCAAACAGAAGAGGGCACCUCUCAUGCUGCUACAGAUCAUCCUCCUGAUAUAUGGGGGCCUGAGUGUGACCUCGCAAGGCUACUGGAGACCCGAUGAUGUCAUCAAUCCCUGGAGCCAGUCUUUCUAAUUGGCUAGUUACUUAACAGGGUACAGAAUUCACAUCGUGGUUUAGGCAGCGAUCUUUCUGACCCAGAAUCCUCAGCGCUGCCUGCAGAUGUGACCCGCCAUGCUCUUCCUGGCUUGCUUCUCUCCGAGAGCUUCUGCUAAGCUCCGGAGGGCCUUCCAGCUGCGUUAGCCAAGCCCACCCAAGCUGUCGGGAUGAUCUUCUCUAAUUAAAACCAACAGAGCAAGGACUUAAGCUGAAUCUGCCAAAUCCGUCCACAACAACACUCAGAUUAGCGUCUGAUUGAAAAAACCGGGGAACUCCAGCUCUGCCAGGCUGACAUAGCCAAGCCCCACCACAGGGUAUGGUUCUGCAGACGGCAAGGGUAGUCAUGUUGAGAACUGGCUGGGAGAAAAGCAAUGUAGAAAAACAAAACCAAACAAACAACAAACCACCCCGAUUCACAUGGAGAAGAGACAAUGGCAAGAUCAGCUCCAACAACUUGUGAAGACCUUGUGGUCCUCAGUCAACAGA